GUUACCAUGGGACUUUGCUUUUUCUUCUGUAGUGCUUUUGAACCCAUGGUAAAUGUCUUUGACAGGUUUAAUUCUUUGUUUUUCAAAGAAAAAUAGCCACUUUGAGUAUCAUCUGAGGUUUCAGAUGUCAUAUGGUAUUAAAACUGAUGACUGUGGUAUGCCAUCAAUAGAGACCACAAAAGGUCUACUGCUACUUUUCUUACUCUUCUGAUUCAAAAUCCCUCUCAUGAGACUUGGUGUUUGCCUGGGAAUUUGGGUAGCUGUUCUUUUGCUGUACCCUUGUUAACUCUUAUAUAUAUAUAUAUA
rnacentral:lncRNA from 1 species